GUGUAGCGGUGAAAUGAGCAUAGAUAUGGAGGAACACCAGUGGCGAAGGCGACUUUCUGGUCUGUACAUGACGCUGAUGUGCGAAAGCGUGGGGAUCAAACAGGAUUAGAUACCCUGGUAGUCCAAGCCGUAAACGAUGAGUGCUAAGUGUUAGGGGGUUUCCGCACAUUAGUGCUGCAGCUAACGCAUUAAGCACUCCGACUGGGGAGUACGACCGCAAGGUUGAAAC
rnacentral:rRNA from 1 species